rnacentral:rRNA from 1 species
UACGGGGGGGCAAGCGUUGUUCGGAAUUACUGGGCGUAAAGGGCUCGUAGGCGGCCAACUAAGUCGGAUGUGAAAUCCCCAGGCUCGACCUGGGAACUGCAUCCGAUACUGGAUGGCUUGAAUUCGGGAGAGGGAUGCAGAAUUCCAGGUGUAGCGGUGAAAUGCGUAGAUAUCUGGAGGAAUACCGGUGGCGAAGGCGGCAUCCUGGACCGACAUUGACGCUGAGGAGCGAAAGCCAGGGGAGCAAACGGG